rnacentral:rRNA from 1 species
UACGGAGGGGGCGAGCGUUAUUCGGAAUUAUUGGGCGUAAAGGGCGCGUAGGCGGCUUGAUGUGUCAAAGGUGAAAUCCCUCGGCUCAACUGAGGAACUGCCUUUGAAACUGUCUGGCUUGAGGCCGGGAGAGGGUAGCGGAAUUCCCAGUGUAGCAGUGAAAUGCGUAGAUACUGGGAGGAACACCGGUGGCGAAGGCGGCUACCUGGACCGGAACUGACGCUGAGGCGCGAAAGCGUGGGUAGCAAACAGG